rnacentral:rRNA from 1 species
GACGAACGCUGGCGGCGUGCCUAAUACAUGCAAGUCGAGCGAACAGAAGCAGCAGAAUUACUUCGGUAAGGACGCUGUGGAAGUUAGCGGCGGAUGGGUGAGUAACACGUGGGUAACCUACCCUUAAGACUGGGAUACCACUUGGAAACAGGUGCUAAUACCGGAUAGGAGUAUGAGCUGCAUGGCUUAUACUUUAAAGGCGGCGAAAGCUGUCACUAAAGGAUGGACCCGCGGUGCAUUAGCUAGUUGGUAAGGUAACGGCUUACCAAGGCGACGAUGCAUAGCCGAGUUGAGAGACUGAUCGGCCACUUUGGGACUGAGACACGGCCCAAACUCCUACGGGAGGCAGCAGUAGGGAAUCUUCCACAAUGGACGCAAGUCUGAUGGAGCAACGCCGCGUGAGUGAAGAAGGUUUUCGGAUCGUAAAGCUCUGUUGUUGGUGAAGAAGGAUAUAGGUAGUAACUGGCCUAUAUUUGACGGUAAUCAACCAGAAAGUCACGGCUAACUACGUGCCAGCAGCCGCGGUAAUACGUAGGUGGCAAGCGUUGUCCGGAUUUAUUGGGCGUAAAGCGAGCGCAGGCGGAGAAAUAAGUCUGAUGUGAAAGCCCACGGCUCAACCGUGGAACUGCAUCGGAAACUGUUUUUCUUGAGUGCAGAAGAGGAGAGUGGAACUCCAUGUGUAGCGGUGGAAUGCAUAGAUAUAUGGAAGAACACCAGUGGCGAAGGCGGCUCUCUGGUCUGCAACUGACGCUGAGGCUCGAAAGCAUGGGUAGCGAACAGG